UAGCCGUAAACGAUACUCGCUAGGUGUCGGCCACGGUGCGACCGUUGUCGGUGCCGUAGGGAAGCCGUGAAGCGAGCCACCUGGGAAGUACGGCCGCAAGGCUGAAACUUAAAGGAAUUGGCGGGGGAGCACCACAACGGGUGGGGCUUGCGGUUUAAUUGGAUUCAACGCCGGAAAUCUUACCGGGACCGACAGCAACAUGAAGGCCAGGCUGAAGACUUUGCCGGAUUAGCUGAGAGGUGGUGCAUGGCGUAGUCGUGU
rnacentral:rRNA from 1 species